rnacentral:rRNA from 1 species
UACGUAGGUGGCAAGCGUUGUCCGGAUUUACUGGGCGUAAAGAGCGCGCAGGCGGUCGUUCAAGUCGCGUGUGAAAGCCCCCGGCUCAACUGGGGAGGGUCACGCGAUACUGAUCGACUGGAAGGCAGGAGAGGGUAGUGGAAUUCCUGGUGUAGCGGUGAAAUGCGCAGAUAUCAGGAAGAACACCCGUGGCUAAGGCGGCUCUCUAGUACGGUACUGACGCUGAGACGCGAAAGCGUGGGGAGCGAACAGG